rnacentral:rRNA from 1 species
CAGGAUGAACGCUAGCGACAGGCCUAACACAUGCAAGUCAGGGGCAGCACAAGGAGCAAUCUGAGGUGGCGACCGGCGCACGGGUGAGUAACACGUAUGCAACCUGCCUGUAAGCGGGGAAUAACCCGUUGAAAGACGGACUAAUACCGCAUAAUACUAAAUUACUGCAUGGUAAUUAUUUAAACAUUUAUGGCUUACAGAUGGGCAUGCGCAUGAUUAGCUAGUUGGAGAGGUAACGGCUCCCCAAGGCAACGAUCAUUAGGGGUUCUGAGAGGAAGGUCCCCCACACUGGUACUGAGACACGGACCAGACUCCUACGGGAGGCAGCAGUGAGGAAUAUUGGUCAAUGGACGAGAGUCUGAACCAGCCAAGUCGCGUGCAGGAAGAAUGUCCUUAAUGGAUUGUAAACUGCUUUUGCAGGGGAAUAAAGUGCAUCACGUGUGAUGUUUUGUAUGUACUCUGCGAAUAAGGAUCGGCUAACUCCGUGCCAGCCGCUGC